UGAGUCGAACGCGCAGUUCGGUGUAGCAAUACAUCGGAUGGGCGCGUGGCGAACGGGUGCGUAACACGUGGAUAACCUUCCUUCAGGUGGGGAAUAACCCAGCGAAAGUUGGGCUAAUACCGCAUAACAUUACGAGGGCACAUGCUCUUGUACUCAAACCCGCAAGGGGCCAGAAGAGGGAUCCGCGGCCGAUUAGCUAGUUGGCGAGGUAAUGGCUCACCAAGGCAAUGAUCGGUAUCCGGACUGAGAGGUUGGCCGGACACACUGGAACUGAGACACGGUCCAGACUCCUACGGGAGGCAGCAGUGGGGAAUCUUGCGCAAUGGGCGAAAGCCUGACGCAGCAACGCCGCGUGGGGGAUGAAGCUUCUCGGAGUGUAAACCCCUUUCGACCCGGAAGAAUGUCCGCAAGGACUUGACGGUACGGGUAUAAGAAGCCCCGGCUAACUACGUGCCAGCAGCCGCGGUAAUACGUAGGGGGCCAGCGUUGCUCGGAAUUACUGGGCGUAAAGGGUCCGUAGGCGGUGUGGUAAGUCGGGAGUGAAAUCUCUGGGCUUAACUCAGAGGCUGCUUUCGAAACUGCCGUGCUAGAGUGUGAGAUAGGCGAGUGGAAUUGCGGGUGUAGCGGUGAAAUGCGUAGAUAUCCGCAGGAACAUCCGAGGCGAAAGCGGCUCGCUGGAUCACAACUGACGCUGAGGGACGAAAGCUAGGGGAGCAAACAGGAUUAGAUACCCUGGUAGUCCUAGCCCUAAACCAUCGACUUGGGGUUUGCCUGUACGGGGCAAGUCCCGUAGCUACGCGUUAAGUCCUGCGCCUGGGGAUAUCGCAAGACUGAAACUCAAAGGAAUUGACGGGGGCCCGCACAAGCGGUGGA
rnacentral:rRNA from 1 species